GCUUUACGAAGAGGUGUGGAAACGUCAUGAAGCAUCGACAAUGUUCUAGAUGGGGCGCACUCGCGCAUGCGCUGCUGUGUCAUGAGUAUUGUGUUUUGCAAUUUUCUCACAUCGUUAAGCAAUGAACAUCUUCAUGUAAGUUUACAUUUGUAUUACAAAAUAAACACAUUUUAACAUGGUACAUUUAGAUUAGUUUUAAAUAAACACGUUCAUAUUUAGCUCUGUUUGUAGGUGGAAACACACCUGAAUAUUAUUAUGAGAGCAGCUCUGUGAGGUUUAACCAGCUCAGUUUGAAGCUCAUUUUAUAUUUCAAAAAACAGAUAUUUAAAUUUUAAAAUUGAACAUUUUUAAUGUCUCAGAUUAGGGGAUAAAUGUGGUCAUAACAGUUUCAAAAACAAAGAGAUCAACACCAGAUCACCUCAAAUUUUACCAUCAGUGAAAAGUUUUCCCUAAAAAAAGUGCGAUUUUUGGAAUGUUGGGCUCUGAAAUAGAGACUUCUGGAAUGUUGGGCCCUGGUGACCUAAAUUCUCGGGGUUGCUGGUAUCCAGAAUGUUGGGUUCUGGAAUACUGAGUUCUGGACCGUUGGACUCUAUGAUGCUUGGCUGUGCAGCGCUUGGUUCAGAGAACCUGGCUGUAGAAUAAUUUAUUUUAGAAUACUCGUCUUCCAGAACUCUGGUUUCUGUAAUGCUGUGUUCUAGAAUGUUCUAGGGUUUUUGUGGUUUUAGUUGAUGGUGUUCUGUGUUAAGAGUGCCAGGUUCUAGAAUACAUGGUUCUGGAGGGUUGGAUUCCCGAGUGCUAAAUGCUUAAGUUCUGGGUUCUGGAAUGCCAGAAUGAAAAAAGGAAAAAAUGAAUGGAAAAAAUGGAAAAAGAAAAAA